AUUGAACGCUGGCGGCAGGCCUAACACAUGCAAGUCGAACGAGUGGCGGACGGGUGAGUAAUGUCUGGGAAACUGCCCGAUGGAGGGGGAUAACUACUGGAAACGGUAGCUAAUACCGCCUACUAUCAGAUCUGCCCAGAUGGGAUUAGCUAGUUGGUGGGGUAACGGCUCACCAAGGCAACGAUCCCUAGCUGGUUUGAGAGGAUGACCAGCCACACUGGAACUGAGACACGGCCCAGACUCCUACGGAAGGCAGCAGUGGGGAAUAUUGGACAAUGGGGGAAAGCCUGAUGCAGCCAUCCCGCGUGUAUGAUGAAGGCCUUCGGGUUGUAAAGUACUUUCGGCAGGGAGGCGUUACCCACAGAAGAAGCACCGGCUAACUCCGUGCCAGCAGCCGCGGUAAUUC
rnacentral:rRNA from 1 species